UACGGAGGGGGCUAGCGUUGUUCGGAAUUACUGGGCGUAAAGCGCGCGUAGGCGGACUUUUAAGUCGGGGGUGAAAUCCCGGGGCUCAACCCCGGAACUGCCUUCGAUACUGGGAGUCUGGAGUUCGAGAGAGGUGAGUGGAAUUCCGAGUGUAGAGGUGAAAUUCGUAGAUAUUCGGAGGAACACCAGUGGCGAAGGCGGCUCACUGGCUCGAUACUGACGCUGAGGUGCGAAAGCGUGGGGAGCAAACAGG
rnacentral:rRNA from 1 species